rnacentral:lncRNA from 1 species
AACUCCCUCGCACAGCAGACCCAGCCGAGCCACGCCUCCGAGCCGCUCCAUGCCACAUGUACCCGUACCUGCAAGAGAAGACAAACAGAAAGCAGCGGCAACAACAAAGAGGAAAAACAUUUUUCUUUUGGAAUUUUUUUGGGUUUUCUUUUCUUUUCAUGUUUUCUGGCUAAAAGAAAAAAAGCCAUAUAUAUGCAUUGUAAAAGGGGGUUACCCUCACACACGGAGAGAAUACACAGAUACUGUAUCAAAAAAAAAAUCAAUACAAAAACGAGGUUUUCUUUUGUUUUCCUCUUUUUUUUCGGUUCUAUUUUCGAUUUAUAUUACUUUCCUUUUUCUAUUUGUUUAUUAGAGAUAUAUAUAGAGGAAUAUAUAUAGAAUAAAAGUGGGGUUACCUCCGACAGCCCACCGUCGGCCCUCAUCUGCUCUGAUCGGAGUUUGAAAGGGGGCAUUGUUUCGGCAAAGCGACGACCGGAGAAGGCCUCGGUUUUUUUGCGGAAGGAAAGGGGGCUAGGGUUCUUUUUCUUUUUUUUUCUUCUUUUUGUUUAACUUUGUUUUAAAUUAAAAAAGGGUGCUAAUUGGGUUUUAAUGGGGCACUUAUGUGCAUUAAAAAACGACGCCGUUUGAUAGCCCUCAACCCGCGCGGUGACCCAACCCGGGGAAGGAUCCGCGCGUCUUGGGUCUGAUGGGCUUAUUGCGCAACAAGUCCCUCUGCGUUGGCUUUCAUUUCAAUUCGGUUUCCUUUUAAUUUUUUUAAUUUGUUAUCGCAUUUUUAUUUUGAUUUCAAUUUAAUCCACAGUUAUGCGGCGUCGUUUCCAUUGUUUGAAUGCCCAGACCUGUGGUUAUUUGCUGUUUUGGUCCCUGAGUGUUGUAUCGAUAGUUAAUUUAGUUUGAUUUUGUUCUCUUCUUUUAAUUUUGGUUGUAAUUGUAAUUUUGUUCCUCUUUGUGCUUAAUUUUUUUUAAAUAUAAUUAGAUCUUAUUUGGAUAUAUUAUUUUAACAUUUAAGUUUGAUAUCAUUUCUAAACUUAUUAUUAAUACAACUUUUAAAAAUACAAUAUAUUAUUUUUUUAAAAUUGUUAUUAAUAUUAUCUAAAUUCAUCAUACAUUAGUUUUCUUAUUCAUUAAACGUUUUUUCAAUAAAAUUUUAGUACAUUAGUAUUUAAUCCAAAUGUAAAAAUUUAUGUGUUGAUACUUUUAUAUUACAUUAUGUAUGUAACUUUAGUAAAUUAUUUUGAAAUAUAUUUGUAUGUAUGUUUUAAAUCUUAUGUAUAUUUAUUUCAUGUAAAAUACCCCCUUUAUACUUUACUUAUUUCAAUUUUUUUAUACGUAUAUUAUCAUACAUAUAUUAUGAUAAGGUUAUUUUUUUUAUUUUGUAUGUAUCAUUUGUUAAAAUUAGCGUAUGUAUAUUAUUUUGAGCUCCUUUUCAUGCAAUACUUGUUUUAAAAUUCAUUUUUAUAUUAUUAUAGUAUUUAUUUUUAACCUUUUCGAUAUAUUUCAAUAUUUAUUUUUUUAGUUGAAAACUUAUUAUAUUUUAUUUAUGUUAUUUCACUUGGCCUUUCUUUUAAAAUUGACUAUUAAUUCACUUAGUUGUUGAAGGUUGUUAUUUGCAUAAUGUAUAAUUGAAAUUAUUGUCACUAUGCUUGUUCGUAUUAAUUGAUUAUUCGCGUUCAUUAGUAUAUAUUUCGGGCUUACGAGUUAUUACUUCGCAUUGUACAUUAUUGCUCCAUCAUACUUUAUUCGUUUAAAAAGUUAUGCUUAAUAUCAUUUGAGUAUCAAAACCAAUCUAUCCAAAAAACUUUCAAAACAAAGCAAAUACUCGACAUUUAGAAUCUUCGAAAAUUGAGCCCUAACGUAUUGGGUUCCAAUUCUCUUCGUCGAAUCUAAAUAAUCGAGAAUAUGCUUUAAUAAAAACACAUAAAUAAAAGCUCAUUCUCGGGAAUUUGACGCGUUGUGCCCUAACGCAUUGAAUAUGACGUAUUGUUUUCUCGAGACGAGGAUUUUUCUAACAAAUAAAAAUAAGGGCAAUAUUUGAUAUUUAGGAAUAUUGUGAAAUCGAGCCCUAACUUACUGGGUCUUGAUUUUCUCAUUUAAUCCAAAUAACCGGAUAUCCUUUUCAAAAUGCAUAGGUUUUAAAAGUCAAGAGAUAAAUUUAAUUUUGAGGAUUUAAAAUGAUGCACUCUAACUUACUGAGUGUGAUGAUUUAUUUCUUUGAAAUAAGUGAAUCUCAUCGUCUAAUUCAUUUUAUUCAAAAUAAAAGGAUCGUAUUUUAAAAUCUUUUCAAAAUUUCGACAUUAAGACAUUAAAUAAUCGAUUCGGUAUCAAUUUUGGUCGUUACGAGGGUGCUAACCCUUCCGCGUGCAUAACCGACUCCCUAACCUAUUUUUCUCAAAAUUCGCAGACCAAAAAUCAUUUUAAUGGUGAACCGGUCACACCUUAAUAAAAGAUCGGUGGCGACUCCCAAUUUUCAUUUUUAAGUUGACAACUAAAUUUUUUUGUUUUUCAAAAAAAUGGUUUCGACAGCUUGGCGACUCUACUGGGGACGUAUUUAGAGAGUCCAGCCGUAAAAUUGAUUGUUUCUUGUCUUAUAAUCGAAAAUUGAAAACUUGAUUGGAAAAAUUAUGAUCCUCUCUUUGCAUUUGUUUGUAUAAUUACUGUAUAUUUUGGCAUCAUAUUGCAUAAGACUGUUUAGUCUUGUCCUUUUAAGUGGGAGUGAGAAGCUACUACUUCGUGAGGUUUUCACCUCCGUGCAGGAUAGUGGAUCACUUUCGGAGUACAUCUGUACCUAUGUCUUCGUGAGAUUUUCAUCUCCAUGCAGCUAUAGGGAAAUGUAUUCCCCUGAACUGAACUUGGUUUGUAUGAGCCUAUAAUGGGUGAAGAUCGAGGAAUCUACUGGUUCGGGUACCUUGACUUUAGAACCAACCCUCAUAUAUUGGACUUAGGAACUUAACCUAGGUAGAGCCACUCCAAAUCCCUAGUGGUUACCUAAUUAGGAACUUUCUGUUUUCGUUGUUUUCUUCUAUUUGUACUAACCCCUCUUGUUGUGUUUUGAUUAUGAUUGUAUUGCAUUUGCAUCUUAGGAAAGAGAUAUUGAUUCAAGUCUAUUACUAAAUUAGAAAGCUUGUCAUGGAAUACGAAUUCCUUGAUAAAGUGGAAAACAAUACGACUUCCCGAGUAUAUUCUGAGAAACACAAGAAUGGCAAUGGAAGAGUUCAUGACCUUGCUUUGUGGCCUGAGGGUUCGAGACGAUUGUCCAAGAGCCUUUGACGUUUCGACUCCCUUAAAGAAGCGGAUGAGCCUUACGAAGACGGUUAGAUGAUAGAUCGCGACCAAGAUCGAGAAAAGGAGCUAGCAAUGGUAUCUAUUGGCGAGAUUAUCUCAAACAUGAGCAUGAAGAAAAAAGAUCGAUGUUGUUUCUUGGAAUAUGAGGGUGAGGCCGUACAUGUAUCCGUUUUAUGUAAAGGAAUUUUCUUUCUAGAAAAGUUUCCUAAAUGUAAUUGAAUCAGAAUCAACGUCUCUGUAGGCAUGCAUUUCAUACAUUGCAUUACAUGCAUUAAAAUCCAUUGAAAUAGUCUAAACGAGUAAAUUUAUUUCAGCUAAUCUGGAAAACCAACAACCAAACACCCUUACGGUAUCCAAGCUAGAGAAAUAGAACAAAGGUUGAAAAAAUUAGAGCGAAUACAGAUACAGAUGCAGGAGCAAUUGACCGAAUUUCAACAGGAGAUGAGAGAUCAGAUGCUAGAAUUACAGAGAACCAUGAUGAGCCAGUUCAACUGACUGCUAGCUGGAGAGUUAAAAAAAAGGAAAGACCCAGUGGUCCACUUUGGGGUUGAUAAUGAGGAUCUUGGCUAUUCCCUAGAUUGUACUCCGACAAGUGACCAGGUCUAGCCGGAUAGACGCCCAUAAGGGGCACUCUUUACCAUCAGAUAUCAAUGAUAUCAGACUGGUACAGCAACACCAGUAAGUUGCUUGACGGGCCCAAGAUCCAAUUGGAGGAACAAUUUUCCUGUUGCUCUUGAUAACCCAGCAGAAAUAAAGCAAUCGAGGGUGAAGUACCUAGAUAUUACAAAGGCCCCAAAGAAGAUGGGGAAUAAGGAGGAUAAUAGAAAGUCAGUCCCAAAGAAAAAGGAGAAUGAAGUGAACCAUGUAAGUACAUACAACAAAUCGAUUACGGUGAACUAGCCAAGAAAAGUGGUUACUAGUCAACAAGGUUCAUCAAGACAAGAAUCUUACGUGAAACAAGGAACUAAAAACCUCCAGUUCACGCCAAUUCCCACGUCGUAUAAAGAGAUGUAUCAAAGCUUAUUCGAUGCGCACAUUGUUGCCCCUCUCUACUCAAAACUUCCACAGCCUCCGUACCCCAGAUGGCACGACGCGAGCGCACAAUGCGAUUAUCAUGUGGGAAGUAUGGGGCAUUCCAUAGAAAAUUGCAUUUCCUUUAAAAAAGUGAUUGAAAGGCUUAUCAGUAAGGGCAUCGUCAAAUUUGAUGAUUCCUCCAGUGCAGAAAAUCCAUUACCCAACCAUAAUUGAUAAUGGAGUGAAUGCAAUGCAUGAAGAAGAGUGGGAAAUGUUCACAUCGACGAAAAUCAAUUGAAAAGGGACCUUGUUAGAUGCCCGCCUUUAUAAAUUUGGGAGCGUUCUAAGCAAUUGGCCUGUGGAAGAAAUCCCUGUAGUUUUUAGAGCUUUUCUAGAGUAAUGUUCAGAACAUUUUUAUUGUUUUUAGCCUAGAAAUGAUAGAAAUUCAUUUGUGAAAUAGGCUUAUGUCUGAACGUUGUUAUUUUAAUGAAAUACAUCUUUGCAAUUAUUUCUGAGCCAAUAUUUUCAUUCUUUACAAAAAAUUCCAGAUUCUUUCAUUCUUUUGAAUUUUCUUCUAAAUUGUUAUUCAUUCAUUCAUAAUCAUAUGGUACAAAUAAUUAUUCAUGAAUUUAUACAUUCUUUUGUAUAUUCUUUGGUACUUGCUAUGGGUCCUCAGAUAUCAAUGACAUGAAUGACACUGAUACAAACUCAGAUUUUCCUCUUGAGCGAGGCAUGUGUUUAGACGGGUCUCAUGACUUUGGAGAUGACAUAGAUCGUAGCUUAUCUCUGAACUUGUCGAGGACGGUAGAACAAAAGGACAGACAGAUUCUACCCCACAAGGAAUUAUUAGAAAUUGUGAGCUUGGUGAAGAUUAGAAUUGAUCUGACCACAAAAACGAUACAAGACCUGGUUGAGUUACCUCUAGAGUUCAAGAUGUCUUUGUAUGAUCAUAUCAGGAUACGCUCGGGUCAACCGCUGAAUAGGAAAUCUGCACAACAGCAUGAUGUCAAAAUUUGUAUGAACGAUGCAAUUCUUUGCCGGAGCAAUGCCUUUCUCGUUGAGUCAACAUAGCUUUGCCCAUUUGAAGUCGAGUUUCCAUCCCUUCAAGAUGUCUUCUAUUGUAGUUGCGCCCCAAAAGGCUCUAUGAAAGAAAUGAAGGUUUUUCGCAUACAAGAUGACAGUGAGAAAUCUUAUCUAAGAAAAUCAAUCAAAAUCAAAAUCAAAGUCAAAAGAAAAAUCAAUCAAAGUCAAAAUAAAAGUAUGAAAAAAGAAAAGAAAAGGAGAGGCCAAGGCGAAAACCCGCAAAGGGCGCUUUGUGACCAAAUGUGGUUUUGAGUUGAAAUCCCGAAAAGGGUGACUCAAAUUUUAGGCAAAUGGCGCAUGGACAUCACCAUUAUUGAAGACUUCUAAUGGGAAUUACCUCAGUUUUGAGAUCAUUCGAGGCUGUUUCAUAAGACAACGUCAUCAUAUGCUUAUUCCAGAAAGAUGGUAUUGGAAAAUGCAUUGAACUUGAAUGACAACACGAUAGCCGAGGGCUGAAAUCAAUUCAAAAUCAGACACCAUGGUUUGUCACUGUUUUGCAAAAUAAUGAAUUGCAAAAAUGACUGAGACUUACAAGGGAUGGCAUGUGAAGUUACCAUUUGCCUUCUUUGUUUUUUAGAACAUUUAUCAAAGCUUUGACUGGGGCAACACUGUUUCUCUGGUUUACAAGACGGAAGUAGUUCUAGCAAUUGAAGUAGAAAUCCCUGUUCUCUAGGUUUUAGUUGAGCAGAAUGAAUCCAAUCUGAUCAAAAGAAAAGGCUAAAAGCUAUUCAGUACAGUCAAAUGUACCAGAAAUGAAUGAUGCGAGCCUAUGAUAAAAAGGUUCGCCCCAGAGAAUUUUGCGAAGGAGACUUGGUGCUAAAAAAAAGAUCCUUCCUAUACAAAAUGAUUUUAGAGGAAAAUGGACACCAAAGGCCUUUUCCAGAGGAGUUCUGAUUUUGAGUAGGAUAGAUGGUAAAAACUCGCCAAAUCCUGCAAACUAUGAUUCAGUCGAGCAUUACCUCACCUGAAGAAGGAGAAAGGACCAAGGAGAAAACCUGUAAAGGGUGCCUUGAUUUCAAAAAAAAAAAGAUGAAAAAUGAAAAUGAAAAGUAAUGACGAAGAGGCUAAGGGGAAAACCCGCAAAGGGGGCCUUAGGCCAAAGGGGAUUUGAGUUGAAAACCCAGCGGCUCAAAUAUUGAUUAAAGUGGGGCAUGAGGUAAUCAAAGGAACUCGAAUCUUGACCAGAUGGGGCAUGUGGUGAUCUUGCUAUUCUUGAAUCAACAGGAAAGGAUAGGCGACAUCUUAGGGCAUGGACAAAGCACUGUAGAUCUCCUAAACACAUGUCAAACUCAGAAUGGUCUUCAGAAAGUUUGUACAGAGAAGUUCAAGCUGCGAUAUCUGGGGCACUCAAUUUUCAUAUUAUUUGUUGUUCUUGGAAUACCUUUUUCUUUUCCAAGAUAUACAUUCCUAAUUAAUUCCUUUGUCAUCCUUCUUUACUAUUUUCGAUAAUUUUUUCUUUCGAGCUAUGUUCAGAACCAACUUUAUUCUUAUCCAUUGUUAUGACCUUUUUUUUGCAAACAUGUUGCAUUGGAAUAAUGAUUAAUGGACUAAUAAAACUUUCACAAAGGAAGUUUAGCAUAUUGCUCUGAAAAGUUUCUAAAUAAUGUAGGAGCCUAAAACAGGACUAUUGUUUAGAACACACCAAGUUUAAAGGUUGGAAAUUUGAGAAGGAAUAGUCUAAAUUUAGACUUUCUCUUUGGAUUUUUGUUGUCAAAUGCGUUGAUUGACAAGACGCCAUGCUGGUGACAAAACUUACAAACAAGCAAGCAAUGAUCAUCAGACAAUAGGAAGAGGUUACCUUGGAGAAGAGAACCUUCAUUAGCAUAUGAGUACGACACCCUGGGAGUGGUGUAAGGAACCAGAACGAUGUAGAUCCUGUAUCCUUAAAUUGGAUAAGAGAGGAUUGAGGAAAAGCCAUAUUUCUACCCUUGGAUUAUAGGGGAGAAUGAUGGUACAAAUUUUGUGCCCCAAUGGAUUAAACUUUGAGGUCUACAGUGGGGGCAACCUGGCAAAUGUUUCUUCAGAAAAGUCAGUCAAGCAAGAAGGCGUUAUAGCACGUCAAUCACAAAGCCUUAAUAAACUUUGAGUAAUGACAACCUAAACGGGAUCAUUCUCGGAAAAAUAAAAUUCUGCAUUCAUGCAAACACCAUUCACACAUGUCUAGUUAGGAGCAUUUGAUACAUUUUGAUCAUGACAUCCUAAUCAUUAGGCAUAAUUAAGUUCAUAAACCAAUUAUACAGGUCAUGUUCCCCAGAGAACAUAUCGGUGAAAUCACAAGUCCUAUGUCCCUGACCAGCAAUGGAAUGGGUUGGAAAUUGUAGAUCUUGUCUCCCUAAGCAAUAGUGGAGCAGAUCGAAGACGGUGAAUCUUAUCUUCCCCAGGAGUAGGGAAACAGAUUUAAGCCACACGUCCUAUGUCCCUGACCAUCAGUGGAAUAGGUUGGAAAUUGAAGAUCUUGUCUCCCUAAGCAGUAGCGAAGCAGAUCGAAGACGGCGAAUCUUAUCUUCCCAAGGAGUAGGGAAAUAGAUUUAAGCCACACGUCCUAUGUCCCUGACCAACAAUGGAAUAGGUUGGAAAUCACAGAUCUUUUCUCCCUAAGCAGUAGCGGAGUAGAUCAAAGACGGUGAAUCUUAUCUUUCCCAGGAGUAGGGAAACAGAUUUAAGCCGCACGUCCUAUGUCCCUGACCAGCAAUGGAAUAGGUUUGAAAUUACAGAUCUUGUCUCCCUAAGCAGUAGCGGAGCAUAUCAAAGACGGCGAAUCUUAUCUUCCCCAGGAGUAAGGAAACAUAAUUAAGCCACACGUCCUAUGUCCCUGACCAGCAGUGGAAUAGGUUGGAAAUUACAGAUCUUGUCUCCCUAAGCAAUAGCAGAGCAAAUCAAAGACGGUGAAUCUUAUCUUCCCCAGGAGUAGGGAAACAGAUUUAAGCCACACGUCCUAUGUCCCUGACUAGCAGUGGAAUAGGUUGGAAAUUACAGAUCUUGUCUCCCUAAGCAGUAGCGGAGUAGAUCAAAGAUGACGAAUCUUAUUUUCCCCAGGAUUUAAGCCACACGUCCUCUGUCCCUGACCAGCAGUGGAAUUGGUUGGAAAUUGCAGAUCUCGUCUCCCUAAGUAGUAACGGAGCAGAUCGAAGACGACGAAUCUUAUCUUCAAGUGUAAGAAAGCAAAUUUAAGCCACAAGUCCUAUGUCCCUGAUCAGCAGUGGAAUAGGUUGGAAAUCAGAUUGAAGCCAGAAAUCUUAUCUCCCUGAGAUUACAGCGGAGCAGAUUGAAGCUAGUAAUCCUAUCUCCCUGAGAUUACAGUGGAGCGGAUUAAAAUAAAGUAUCUUAUCUCUCUGAAGUUACAGUAGAGCAGAUCGCAUCAGAUUGAAGCCAGAAAUCUUAUCUCCCUGAGAUUACAGCGGAGCAGAUGGAAGUUAAUAACCCUAUCUCCCUGAGAUUACAGUGGAGCUGAUUAAAAUAAAGGAUCUUAUCACUCUGAAGUUACAAUAGAGUAGAUCGCAUCAGGUCUUAUCUCCCUAAUAUUACAGUGGAAUAGACCGAAGAAUUAUAGAUCUUAUCUUCCCAAGCGGUGCAGUGGAACAGAUUAAAGCCACAAUAGUGAAUCAUGCUUCCGCGACAUUGCAUUUAAAAAGAUUAAAGCCACAAUGGCGAAUCUUACUUUCCAAAAGUUACGAGUUACAAAUCCUAUCUCCCCGACAUUGCGGUGGAGUGGAUCCAAGCACCAAUUCCUAUACCUCUAAAGAUGAGAUGGAAUGAGGCUACUUGAAGAAGAAGAACACCAAUAUCUAGCGUGACCGGGUAAAAUUUGGCUAUUUUUAGAGUCUUUGCUCCGUUCCCGUUACACAACAACGAGCAAAGAGGGGCAGCUGUAAUAUCCUAAUUCUGCCCGGCCCAAAUCAAAUAAAUAAACGAAAUAAAAAAUAUAAUAAUAUAAAUAAUGAAAACAAAAAAUAAUUAAAUGUCCAAAAAUGUCCAGUUACAAACCAAAAAUUAAAAGCCCAAAAUUAUACCAAACCCAAUUAAAACCCAAACUCACUAAAAUUAAUCCUAAUUACACCAGGCCCAAUAAGCCCAAACACUGAUAGCCCUAAAUAGCUUCCAAAAACCCUAGGACGCCGCAACUCCCUCGCACAGCAGACCCAGCCGAGCCACGCCUCCGAGCCGCUCCACGCCACGCGUACCCGUACCUGCAAGAGAAGACAAAUAGAAAGCAGCAGCAACAACAAAGAGGAAAAACAUUUUUCUUUUGGAAUUUUUUCAGGUUUUCUUUUCUUUUCAUGUUUUCUGGCUAAAAGAAAAAAAGCCAUAUAUAUGCAUUGUAAAAGGGGGUUACCCUCACACACGGAGAGAAUACACAGAUACUAUAUCAAAAACAAAAAAAAAUCAAUACAAAAACAAGGUUUUCUUUUGUUUUCCUCUUUUUUUCGG